rnacentral:pre_miRNA from 1 species
ACCAGCCAACCGGCCACCGACAUGGAGGCCGGGGUUGCCAGAUCCGGUGUCCCCGGCCUUCUGGACGAUUUGGCGGUGGCGA